GACGUAGGGUCCAAGCGUUGUCCGGAUUUACUGGGCGUAAAGAGCGCGUAGGCGGCCUGUUAAGUGAGAAGUGAAAUCUCUAUCGCUUAACGAAGAAACUGCUUUUCAUACUGGCAGGCUGGAGGAACGCAGAGGUGACUGGAAUUCCUGGUGGAGCGGUGAAAUGCAUAGAUAUCAGGAGGAACUCCAAUGGCGAAGGCAGGUCACUGGGCGUUAUCUGACGCUGAGGCGCGAAAGCGUGGGUAGCAAACAGG
rnacentral:rRNA from 1 species